rnacentral:rRNA from 1 species
AACGCUAGCUACAGGCUUAACACAUGCAAGUCGAGGGGCAGCACAGUGUAGCAAUACAUGGGUGGCGACCGGCGCACGGGUGCGUAACGCGUAUCCAACCUUCCCGUUACUCAGGGAUAGCCUUCCGAAAGGGAGAUUAAUACCAGAUGGUAUUCAAAUUUCGCAUGUUAUUUGAAUUAAAGAUUUAUCGGUAACGGAUGGGGAUGCGUGACAUUAGGUAGAUGGCGGGGUAACGGCCCACCAUGCCUACGAUGUCUAGGGGUUCUGAGAGGAAGAUCCCCCACACUGGAACUGAGACACGGUCCAGACUCCUACGGGAGGCAGCAGUGAGGAAUAUUGGUCAAUGGUCGGAAGACUGAACCAGCCAAGUAGCGUGAAGGAUGAAGGUUCUAUGGAUUGUAAACUUCUUUUAUACGGGAAUAAAACCUCCCACGUGUAGGAGCUUGUAUGUACCGUAUGAAUAAGCAUCGGCUAACUCCGUGCCAGCAGCCGCGGUAAUACGGAGGAUGCGAGCGUUAUCCGGAUUUAUUGGGUUUAAAGGGAGCGUAGACGGGAGAUUAAGUCAGUUGUGAAAGGCUGCGGCUCAACCGCAGCACUGCAGUUGAUACUGGUUUCCUUGAGUUCGGUUGAGGUAUGUGGAAUUCGUGGUGUAGCGGUGAAAUGCUUAGAUAUCCACGAAGAACUCGAUUG